ensembl:snRNA U6 U6 spliceosomal RNA
GUGCUUACUUUGGCAGCACAUAUACUGAAAUUGGAACAAUACAGAAAAGAUUAGUGUGGCCCCUGUGCAAGGAUGACAAAAGAUUCAUGAAGUGUUCAAAAUUUUU